rnacentral:rRNA from 1 species
UCGGGGAUAGCCUUUCGAAAGAAAGAUUAAUACCCGAUGGCAUAGUUCUUCCGCAUGGUGGAACUAUUAAAGAAUUUCGGUCAUCGAUGGGGAUGCGUUCCAUUAGGUUGUUGGCGGGGUAACGGCCCACCAAGCCUUCGAUGGAUAGGGGUUCUGAGAGGAAGGUCCCCCACAUUGGAACUGAGACACGGUCCAAACUCCUACGGGAGGCAGCAUG